GACGAACGCUGGCGGCGUGCCUAACACAUGCAAGUCGAACGGAGUUGAUUCUUCGGAAUUAACUUAGUGGCGAACGGGUGAGUAACGCGUGAGAAACCUGCCUUUCAGUGGGGGACAACAGUUGGAGACGACUGCUAAUACCGCAUAAUGUUAUUUGGGGGCAUCCCUGGAUAACCAAAGCUUUAUGUGCUGAAAGAUGGUCUCGCGUCUGAUUAGCUAGAUGGCGGGGUAACGGCCCACCAUGGCGACGAUCAGUAGCCGGUCUGAGAGGAUGAACGGCCACAUCGAGGAUGAGAUACGGCCCAGACUCCUACGGGAGGAAGCAGUGGGGAAUAUGGGGCAAUGGGGGAAACCCUGACCCAGCAACGCCGCGUGAAGGAAGAAGGCCUUCGGGUUGUAAACUUCUUUUACCAGGGACGAAGAACGUGACGGUACCUGGAGAAAAAGCAACGGCUAACUACGUGCCAGCCGCCGCCGUAACAC
rnacentral:rRNA from 1 species